rnacentral:ncRNA from 1 species
CCUCCGCUCUUCCCGCACAGAAGAGCGGACCUGGGGGCCCGGCGUCUCUGCCCUGAUCACGCCGAGCCCUCCAGAUCGGCCGGUGGGAACCGCACACCCGGCGGCCGAUGCGUCUCCGGACCGCGGUGCCGGGCGGGCUGAGGGUCCCGUGCCGGUGU